CUCUGGGAAGAAGCCAAAGAAAGAAGUUAAAAAGAAAAGAUGGAACCAUCCCAAAAUGUCUCUUGCCCAGAAGAAAGAUCAAGUAGCUCAGCAAAGGGCAAACUUCCUCAGAAC